rnacentral:rRNA from 1 species
AACGAACGCUGGCGGCAUGCCUAACACAUGCAAGUCGAACGGGAUCCUAGCUUGCUAGGUGAGAGUGGCGGACGGGUGAGUAACACGUGGGAAUCUGCCUUUUGGUUCGGGAUAACCGCGGGAAACUGCGGCUAAUACCGAAUGCCCUCGAGAGAGGAAAGAUUUAUCGCCAGAAGAGGAGCCCGCGUCCGAUUAGGUAGUUGGUGGGGUAAAGGCCUACCAAGCCGACGAUCGGUAGCUGGUCUGAGAGGAUGAUCAGCCACACUGGGACUGAGAUACGGCCCAGACUCCUACGGGAGGCAGCAGUGGGGAAUAUUGGACAAUGGGGGCAACCCUGAUCCAGCAAUGCCGCGUGAGUGAUGAAGGCCUUAGGGUUGU